AGAGUUUGAUCAUGGCUCAGAGUGAACGCUGGCGGCGUGCUUAACACAUGCAAGUCGAACGGUAACAGAUAGUACUUGUACUAUGCUGACGAGUGGCGCACGGGUGAGUAAUAUAUAGUUAAUCUGCCUCAAAGACCGGGAUAGCCAUUGGAAACGAUGAUUAAUACUGGAUAUACCUUUUAAAUAUAAGUUUAAAAGGGAAAUGUUUUUUCGCUUUGAGAUGAGACUAUAUCGCAUCAGUUAGUUGGUGGGGUAAGAGCCUACCAAGACAAUGACGCGUAGCGGGUUUGAGAGGAUGAUCCGCCACACUGGUACUGAGACACGGACCAGACUCCUACGGGAGGCAGCAGUGAGGAAUAUUGCACAAUGGGGGAAACCCUGAUGCAGCAACGCCGCGUGGAGGAUGACGCAUUUCGGUGUGUAAACUCCUUUUAUAUGUCAAGAAAAUGACGGUAGCAUAUGAAUAAGCACCGGCUAACUCCGUGCCAGCAGCCGCGGUAAUACGGAGGGUGCAAGCGUUACUCGGAAUCACUGGGCGUAAAGGACGCGUAGGCGGGUUAGUAAGUCAGGUGUGAAAUCCUACAGCUUAACUGUAGAACUGCACUUGAAACUACUAAUCUAGAGUAUGGGAGGGGGGAGAUGGAAUUAGUGGUGUAGGGGUAAAAUCCGUAGAUAUCACUAGGAAUACCGAAAGCGAAAGGCGAUCUCCUGGAACAUUACUGACGCUAAGGCGUGAAAGCGUGGGGAGCAAACGGGAUUAGA
rnacentral:rRNA from 1 species